rnacentral:rRNA from 1 species
AUUGAACGCUAGCGGGAUGCCUUACACAUGCAAGUCGAACGGCAGCAUAAGAGAGCUUGCUCUCUUGAUGGCGAGUGGCGAACGGGUGAGUAAUGUAUCGGAACGUGCCCAGUAGCGGGGGAUAACUACGCGAAAGCGUAGCUAAUACCGCAUACGCCCUACGGGGAAAGGAGGGGAUCCGCAAGGACCUUUCACUAUUGGAGCGGCCGAUAUCGGAUUAGCUAGUUGGUGAGGUAACGGCCCACCAAGGCGACGAUCAGUAGCCGACCUGAGAGGGUGACCGGCCACAUUGGGACUGAGACACGGCCCAG